GAUGAAGAACGCAGCGAAAUGCGAUAAGUAAUGUGAAUUGCAGAAUUCAGUGAAUCAUCGAAUCUUUGAACGCACAUUGCGCCCGCCAGUAUUCUGGCGGGCAUGCCUGUUCGAGCGUCAUUUCAACCCUCAAGCCCAGCUUGGUGUUGGGGAUCGGCACAGGCGCCCUCGGGCGCCCGCCGUCCCCUAAAUCUAGUGGCGGUCCCGCUGCAGCCUCCUCUGCGUAGUAGUUUUCUCCUCGCAAGGGCAGCUCGGUGGCGACCUCGCCGUAAAACCCCCAACUUCUGAAAGGUUGACCUCGAAUCAGGUAGGAAUACCCGCUGAACUUAAGCAUAUCAAUAAGGGAGGA
rnacentral:misc_RNA from 1 species